GCCCGCCACCACACCUGGCUAACUUUUUGUAUUUUUAGUGGAGAGGGAGUUUCACCGUUUUAGACAGGAUGGUCUCGAUCUCCUGACCUCCUGAUCCACCCGCCUCUGCCUGCCAAAGUGCUGGGAUUACAGACGUGAGCCACCGCGCCCGGCUGUUUUCUUUUUUUUAACAGGAAAACACAAGCGUGAAGCCUCCAUUUGGGAAGCCUGCAGAAGCCCCAAUCCAAUCACAGCACUGCCAGAGGAUCUUAGAAGUUGAAUAUCAAUUUAAUAACACAUCCUGUUUGAGAUUGGGUUCUAACUAUAUUGCCCAAGCUAGAUUCAAACUCUUGGGCUCAAGUGAUCCUCCUGCCUAAGACUCCUUAGUAGCUUGGAACUUCAGAACCAUCUGUCAAUGGCUACUUCAUACUUUAGAUGCUCCAAGAGGAAAAAGUCAUUUCAGAAUUGUAUCCAUAACCCAGUUUCAUUGAAGAUGGAGUCUUCCUUCAGAUUUUCUACAUAGACAAUUAUACCUCUGUGAACAAAGACAGUUUAUUUCUUCCUUCCCAGAGAUUGAGAGAGCAAGAAUCGUAGAUAUGAUAGCAACUACAAGAAACUUUGGCUCCAUUCUAC
rnacentral:lncRNA from 10 species